rnacentral:lncRNA from 1 species
AAUCUUUGGUAAACCUUAGAUUGUCCUCGACAAUUGUUUAAUCCUUUUAGUCAUAUCCAGUUCUAAACCUUUUCCCUUCUUAAUGCCCCAGGCAUUUGGAAAAUUUUAGAACGGAUGAAUAUAGCACAUGUAAUCGAUCCUAUAUCCGAAGCAUAUGGGACACGAUUCAUGAUGUCUUACAUAAAGACUAAACCAGUCUUUUGCUAUAAUAUUUCCAUUUCAAUUUGCCAAGUUCUCAUAAUUCAGAUUAUGAAAAGGGAUGCCGUAAUCAUAAUCGAAUUUUAGAACGCAAAUAAUGGACCCAUAUACAGAAUUUCCUUAUGUUGAGCCAUUCCAACAUGAAAUUCAUAUAUAUCCUUGACUAAAUGAUUAAAACCUCACGAUCUAAGCUUAUAGAUUUGAGAUGAAGCAUAAUUUCCUCUCCCUUAAUUAUAGCAAAACAACUUUUUCCCAAUUGAAACUUUUGUUUUCUAUAAUUAACAUUGCUAACUUGCAAUACUUAUCAUAAUUAUCAUGCUCCCACUAACAUGAUGAUUAUUAGCAUAACACUUAUGCUCCCACUAGCUUUGACAUGUACUCAGAAAUCAGCUGGACAGUCUGAAAUUUAGAUUCAUACACCCUUUCCGUAGAUAGCUCACCUGUGUGUCUAAGCAAUUUCAAGAACCAUGAAAAGGGAUACCGUAAUCAUGGUCUCAAUUGCUUAGGCAUUUGCCAUUUCUCACAAGUCCAUGUUAGUGUGCCGGUUAACCACACGCGCUCCACUAACGACUUUUGAAAAUGCAAAUAACACAAUUGAUAUCUUCGUAAAAUCUACUUAGUGAAAGCGUUUCCUCACCAUCAUUUUCAUGAAUCGGAGAGAAACCUUAUGACACUUAGAUUUAUAUGGUGUAUGAGUUCCUACCCAUAUGAAUUUGUCAAACCAUAAUCACAAGACAAAGAUAAUGACAAAUCCAAAACCAUAUGGAUUGAACUCAAUCUUAACUUCUUGCCACCUGGCAGCUCAAGGGCCUGCCAUUGCUUCCAAGUUGUUGUGCAACAAAUUGAGAACUCUAAGAACUCAUAUGCAAAACCAACUUUAACUGGAAUGGGCACAGAAUAUGUCAACACGAUAGGUUAUGAACCUCAAGUCGUGUGCUAGUGAAGAACUUUAGGUUUUAUUCUUGAUUAUUUCUUGAGACUUUCAAGACCUUUAAGACUCCCACUGUCCUCUUGACAUAUAAGACUCCCUUGUCAAACAUCCAAGAGAUAGUGCGGAUUCUAAUCAAGAAAAACACUUUACCCAAUUGGCCUAAGUUGGUCUUUGUUUUAUCCAAAACAUCACAACUUACCAAUUUCAAAUGUACAAGAGUAGAAAACUUUUACUCUUACAUUUGACAAGUGUUUUAAACCUUCUUUAAGACAUGUCACUCAAAUGACAAUCUUGGAGUAUGACUCUAAGACUUGUAUUGGAACGAAGUAUGACUCAUCUUCUUGAUUUAACCAUUUCAACAAUUCAAGUUCCUCUUCUUAGUCAUAAGAAUGCACUAAGAUUUCCUUAGAGAACUAAUUUUGAUAUGGUUUCUUAAUCAUUAAGAUGAUCACAAAACUGAUACUAAAGUACUCUCCCAUCUUUUCAGAUUUGAGAAACUUUUAUCCUUCUGCCUUAUUUGAUUCUUCUUAUCGAUCUUUAGUGGUGGACUUAAUCAGUGCACAAGAAUGUGUACUCGAUCCCUAAGUCCUUUACUUGACUCACACAUCCAUGUGAACAAGUAAUUAGUCUUAAUUUUCCAAAACUUGAAAGUUCUCAUUCAUCAUGCUAUACAACUUGCAUGAUUCCAAGUUCCGGUCCAAUUGAAACUUGGGUGAUGAGAAUCUUUCCUUAUUUGGUAAAUUUAGACAUUACCACAAAUGAAAGAAUCAAUUUCAUACUUCCACUCUUGCUACUAAUGGAAUCUUAUAAGCAACAAAAAUUUCCACAGAUGCCAUUGUAAGGAUAUUUUAAAAUAAAUAAAAUCAAAAAUUUCCUUUUAUUUUAAAACUUUGCGGAAAAACUAUCCUUACAAUCCAUAUGAAAACUUGUUGUUAUCUAUUCCUAAGCAAUAUCUCAUAACUCCUAAGAAGUAGCUCAAGAAUCCGAUUUUUCAAACUAUGCGAUAGAAAUCCAUCUAUGCGAUCAGAUUCAGCAUAUUCUUCCUUUAAGUUUCUUCACUUUCCUUUGAUUCUUAAACCAUCACCAUGCGACCCGGUCACAUCAUGUAUCAAGAAUCUCAGAAUAGAAACUUAACAGAGUUAGAUAGUGGAUUUUACCUGAAGUAGAGUCAAACUUAUUGACUUUAACAUCCUUAGGUAAAUUUGGCAGCUUCGCAACCAAUGCCCUUUCUUUGGCAAUACAAACAUAUGGACCCUUUGAUAAUGGUACACAGGACUAUCACAGACUUAGCUUUUCUCUUUACCAUUUGGUCAACCGAGUUGACUAUAGCCGAUCCCUUUCCAUUGGGAAGAGAAUGCUUUACUGGAUAUCCAAUGUCAUCAUUGUCAAUGUCCAUAAAGUUUUAGGAAGUUGAUCUUAGCAAAUAGAUAAGAUCAUUAAGGGUCUUGUCAUAGUCUGUUUCAUAGGUGUCCCAAAGGAACUCACUAUGUGACUUAGAAAGUGGUUGAACCACCAACUUUCUCAAGACUUUGACACCCAACUCUCCCGGCUUGUCAAUAUGUGACUACAUCUCCAAGAUGUGACCACACCUAGACCUUGCCUUGCCAAUAGGGCCUGAGUGACCUUAAACUUUUCAAGAACUUGUGGGUUAGGGAGAAUAAUUUGAAGAGGUGAAGAAGUAUGAUAUCCAUGGGACAUCAUCUUCAUUAGGAAACCUUGUUUCAAGAGAUUUGGGAAGAUCAUAGGUGUCUAAACCAGACAUCUUUUGGGAGAUAUUCAAGAUAGUUGAUUUAAAGUCCUUAAUAUGACACCCAAUAUGAAAUAUUAAGGCUAGGACCCAACAAACUAUUUUAUAACUUAGAAGAGGUAUGCCGUAAUCCAAGCUAUAAAAUAUUUGAAGGUAGGUGAAUGACGAUUCACCAAUUUCCACCAAGAUAAACGAAAUGUAUUAUUAGGUUUUAAUUGGUUUUGAAACUCCUAGAUCUUUGAGAUUCAUUGAACUUUUCAAAGGCAUGUUUCAAUCUCGAGUGUGCCCUUCAGGUUUUGUGACUGGGAUGCCGAGGAUCACAAAACAAGGUGUGAAGUAACCAUGCAAAUCACUUGGUACCCUUAAUAAAUUACCCCUCAAUCGAUGUGCCGGUUAACCACACACGCUCCAUCGAUACUAUGAUAAAUAUUAAGUCACCCUUUACCUACCUUGUUAAGUCCAAGUUAGUGUGCCGGUUAACCACACACGCUCCACUAACGACUUAGACAAAGUGUAAAGUGUAAUUUCAUGGAUUAGCACCUUAUUCACAUUUUUCCUAAGUAACUAAGAUUGGGUAUUAUUAAGAGUUUAGUUACUUAGUAUUAUCAUUAAUACUUUUAAUGAAGGGAGAAUUCUAGUCCUGUCAAACCCGUUCGGCUAACGACCCUCCACCAGUCAAGCAAGCGGUGGGUGAGAGUGGACACCCAUUAAGUUGCCAUUUUAUAGGCAACAACCUUAUACCCACCUUAUAGACCGGCUUCGUGAAUGAGGCGUACUAGCGGUAAGACUGACUUUACUCUUAUACAUAUAUAUAUUAUUAACUUAUAAUAUUAUAAAGUAUAAGGGUUGAAUUUUAACUUUUAAAAUUCUAAGGGCUAACUUGGAAUUAAAGUAUUCAUAAGUGAAAACUUUACAAAUUCCAAAACUUGAGGGCAAGUUUUGAAACUAUUCAAAACUAAUUAAUUCCAUAACUUAUGUGUUUAAAGUAGUUUUAAUCCAAAAACUCUUCAAGUUCCAUAACUUGAGGACAAGUUAUGGAAGACUUUAAACUAAUAAAAGAAUUAACUUUUCUUUAUUUUAUAACUUAUGGAAUUAAUUAAGGUUACCCUUUUUUUUAUUUUAUUUUAUUUUAUUAAAUGAAGAGACUCUUGGUCCUCCAUAACUUGAGGACAAGUUAUGGAGUCAUAAAACCAUUUAAUUAGAACUAGACUCUUCAUUUUUGUAACCUUUGCCAAUUUUUAUGAGUUUUAUGAUUCUUAAAUGUGACUUUUCAUAUAACUUGAGGACAAGUUACAAAAACACAUUUUAGAAUCAAUUCUUAGAUUAAUUUGGAUUAAAACCAACUAUCACAUAAUUUUAUUCAUUAAUCUAAAUUCACUCAUAAAACAAGGUAACACAAAAAACUUUUGGUGAUCCAUAACUUAUUCUUAAGUUAUGGAAUCCUUUAAAACAUUAACACCAAAUUUUGUAACUCCAAAAAAACUUUGAAUCAAUUUUUUUUUUAAAACCUUUUCAUAUCCAUAACUUAUGGAGGUUUCAAAAAAUAAAACUCUUUAGAUCAAACUUUUAAAACUAAUAAAAUAAUCAUAUUAUUUUAUCUUUUAUUAAAUUUGACCUAAUUCAACUCAUAAAGCAAAUUAUUCAAAUUUUACAAAUAAUUAGUUUUUCACAAGAACAAGUAAUUAUCUUAAAAUUUGACAAACUUCAUUUUUUUUUUUUUUUCAACUUUGAAAAUAAAAUAUUUGCAUCAAUAUAACAGAAAACAACCCGUGGCUCUGAUACCACUGUUGGGUUUUGAGCAUUCUAACACUUCCUAAGUGUACAUGCAACCCUAAAUACCUUGGAUCUAUGUUUUCUCUAUUAUACAUGCAAAUAAGAACAUCCAAGGUAUUAUCCUAAUCUAGCAUACAAAAACUAUGAAUGUAACAAGAUAGAAUACAUACCUCUUGAUGUAGCUUGAUGUCUUCAAGCUUUAAGAGCUUAGCCCCAAUAGUGUGGAAGCCUCAAGUGGAAUCACAAAUCACCAAGACACCUUGGAAUACUUUAGAGAAUAUGAUUACUUGGUUCUCUCUAGUGAAAUUGGCUAGCCCUUCUUUAGUGUAUCCACACUAGUGCCAAUUUCACCAACCAAAGACAUCUUUAUAUAGUAUGGAGGAUUAGGGUUAAACCCUAAUACCCAUGACCUUUCAUUUCCUAGGAUCCAUGGGUUAAACACUCCAUGGACUAUCCAUGAAAGCUUAGCCCAACCUAAAUGAACUUGGCCCAUUCCAUAUAUAUAAGAGUCCAUAUUUAAUUAGUUCCUUUUGAUCACUUAAUUAAUUAUAAAUUAAUUCUUGAUCAAUACUAAUUAAAUAAUAUGAUUCCAUAUUAAUAUAUUAGAACUUAUAAUAUAUUAAUAUUAAUCAUAAACAUACUAUUCUCAAAAGAUUAUCCAUAUAAAUUGUGUCGGUGAAGUGCAACCCAAAUGGACCAUGCCGGGUCGGGUCAAGUACAUACCAAAUAUAGUUAUGGACUUAGACAUUAAUCCAACAGAAUGACCUAGUUAUUCUUGAAGUCAAAACAUGCAAUAUGAAACACAAGAAUAAUUGAAUCCAAUAUGGUCUCAGAACUUAUGAAUAUAAAUAAACACCUUUUAUUUAUCACCAUAUGAUUACACAUUAUUCAUUGCAUACUCUUUCAGCUAUCAACUUUACUCUUGAAUUAUAACACUAGUUGUCCCAUGCUUCGAGCAUGUACACUAUGUUUUCUAAACACUAGUCAUGCCUUACACCAACUAUGCACACUAUGCUUGUCUAUGAUCUUUACAUUGUGAAAUAAACCAAUCGAACCAUGAUUCUAAUUUCACACUCCCAAUUCCUUAUCGUAAAUGUAUGAAUUCCAAAUUCUUAUCAUUUAUCGAAAUCUGUUAGAUUUAAACUUAUAUGCACUACCCUCUUGUAAUGAACAUGUACAAAGUCACAAAGACUUGUCAAAAAUCGUUACAAGGUAUUCCAAUGAAGGUCUACUCCAUGGAAACAAAGUCUUAUGUUCAAAGUAUGCAUUGCUUUGAAAAUUCUUCUUGCAUUAAGUUUCCUAAUCUUACACAAAUAACUUCCACCUUCCCAUAUUCCCAUUUUGACUAUCACUUCUAAACAAGAGUUGCCGCUUUUCAGAAUAUAUUAAUAUGGUCCUUCCAAAAUUAACACCAUACUUCCAAUUGUCCCUGAGCAACCAAUUUUUGGUAAACCUUAGAUUGUCCUCGAAGAUUGCUUAAUCCUUUUAGUCAUAUCAAGUUUUAGACCUUUUCCCUUCUUAAUGCCCCAGGCAUUUGGAAAAUUUUAGAAAGGAUGAAUAUAGCACAUGUAAUCGAUCCUAUAUCCAAAGCAUAUGUGACACGAUUCAUGAUGUCUCACAUAAAGACUAAACUAGUCUUUUGCUAUAAUAUUUCCAUUUCAAUUUGGCAAGUUCUCAC